rnacentral:rRNA from 1 species
CCUACGGGAGGCAGCAGUGGGGAAUAUUGCACAAUGGGCGAAAGCCUGAUGCAGCGACGCCGCGUGAGGGACGACGGCCUUCGGGUUGUAAACCUCUUUCAGCAGGGACGAAGCGCAAGUGACGGUACCUGCAGAAGAAGCACCGGCUAACUACGUGCCAGCAGCUGCGGUAAUACGUAGGGUGCAAGCGUUGUCCGGAAUUACUGGGCGUAAAGAGUUCGUAGGCGGUUUGUCACGUCGUUUGUGAAAACUCACAGCUCAACUGUGAGCCUGCAGGCGAUACGGGCAGACUUGAGUACUGCAGGGGAGACUGGAAUUCCUGGUGUAGCGGUGAAAUGCGCAGAUAUCAGGAGGAACACCGGUGGCGAAGGCGGGUCUCUGGGCAGUAACUGACGCUGAGGAACGAAAGCGUGGGUAGCAAACAGGAUUAGAUACCCUGGUAGUCCACGCCGUAAACGGUGGGCGCUAGGUGUGGGUUCCUUCCACGGAAUCCGUGCCGUAGCUAACGCAUUAAGCGCCCCGCCUGGGGNGACGCGCGAGACAACUAACGAANAGAGUGNGNGNGNGACGAGCGACGACGACGACGAGGAGAG